rnacentral:rRNA from 1 species
CAUGCAGGAAUAAGUAGCGAGAAUGGGGGCGAGAAUCCCCCACGCCGGAAGACCAAGGGUUCCAGGGUAAAGUUUGUCUCCCCUGGGUAAGCCGGGUCCUCAGCCGAGGCUCGAUUGCGUAGGCGAAUGGAAAACAGAUUCAUAUUUCUGUGCCACUGAUAUCAAGUGAUGGAGGGACGCAGGAGGUUAUGCACGCUGGCGAACGGACGUGCCAGUUCAAGCAUGUAGCGUGGUCUAGUAGGAAAAUCCGCUAGACUACACGUGAGGUGUGAUGAGGAGUCGUAAGAUGGAAGGUGCAAAUAACACACUGCCGAGAAAAGCUUCUAAGCGUUAUAAAGAUAUUAGUGCCCGUACCCCAAACCGACACACUUGGUCAGGAUGAGAAAUCUAAGGCGGACAGGCUAACCCUCGCUAAGGAACUCUGCAAAAUAGCUCCGUAACUUCGGGCGCAGGGGUG